CAGACGUUCACGUCACAGCGCUGUUUCCCCGGCGCGGCAGUGUGACAAACCGCUGCAACCUAAUAACAACUGAUUCAUUCACUUUUGUUUUUUCUCUGUCGCUGUGUUCGUUCGGAGGUUAGAAAGGGACAGUGCCGAUAAAAUACAAAAAUAACAGUAAACAACGGUGCGUGAGGAUGGGUUUGUGUCUUUCGUUCGAGUGUGGCGACUGUGAAGUCUGCUGUAACCCGUGUUGUCUGGCGCUGAGUGCGUGCUGCCUGGUGCCCUGCCUGUGUCCUAACGCCUGCGGGCAGCAGCAACCCCCGCCGCAGCACGUGACCGUGGUGCAGCAACCCCCGCCGGUCAUAUACGAGCAGCAGCCCCCGCCGCCCGGCUACCCGUACCCGCCACCCGGGGGAUACCCGCCCCCUGGCGGUCAUCCCGGCUACCCUCCACCACAGGGAUACCCAGGAUACCCCCCUGAUCCUUCACAAAUGUACCGAUGAAAAGCUUAGUUAAGGAUGGGUUGCAACAUUUCAUGUCGUCCGUGCUGCUGCUGCUGCAUCCCUUGCUGUUGCUGCGACUGUUGCAGCGAUGAUAACAAACGCACCGUGAUUGUACAAAAUCGCGUUGUCGUCCAACAACCACCGGCGGGCUCGGCGCCCGGACCCCGAGUCGAACCACCACCUCCUUAUAAAUACUAACACACCGCUAACAAAUAUUAUUUUUUAACUUUUUUAUUUUGGAACAAUGAACAGUCACAAGAAUUUACUAUGUAAAUAUGUAGUCUGUGAAAAAUUUACAUUAUCCACAUGGCCAGUCACAAAUGUCAUUACAAGAUUUAAAGUUAUAGAGCCGUAACAAAUAAGCACCCAUAGCCGGGUAAAUAAUAGUGUAUUGUUCUUUUGUUUUAAUCAGCGUUAAUAAUUAUAAAAUUAGGAAUAUAUUGUGCUAACUGACAGUUGUGUUUUCAAUGCACGCUUUUUCUAAUUUCGUUACGAAAGUAAAACAUUGUACUGUUUCACUGUUAGUUCAAACUUAUGCCUGAUUUUAGAUGUUACGUUAUGCUCUCGAAAAAACAUUAAUUAUUUGGUGCAAUAUUAUUUUGUUAUUGUCUUUUUUUCUGAAUGUUAUCGAAAGUAAUAUACCUAUGAAUUGAAACGAAUUUAUUUCGCUCUAAGUAUAGGUAGUCGGAAACAGGGUCCAAGUUAUCGGUGGUGUGGGCCUCAGAAAGGAACUUCUUUAAAUAGGAAAACUUUUACAAUAUUUGUAUAAAUAGUAGUACUUAUUUUUUAAACAUAAUUUCCUCUCUGAAGCCCUUUAGCAUAAACUUUUUUCAUCAUGGAAUGCAGCAGCAACCUUUAGUAAAUGUUAACCUAUUAUUAUUUUGUUAUUAAUUAAUUAAGCACAUAUUAAAUAUGUAUUAAGUAAAUAGAAAAUAAAUAGAUCUCCUAUGUAUUUAAUACUGCAAUUGAAAAUUUUUCCUAACUAUAGCAACAUUGUAGGAAUUGCCAAAGAUGAUAAUUUCUUGUCUUGGAAAAACCCCUCCUUCGUCUUGGGGAAAUAUUUCAGAGAUGGGAGACUUUCAUGCGUCCUUCUAUUUAUUUUUCUUAUUAUCUUCUCCUUCAUGAAGGUGUAGACUUUACCUAAUAAUUUUUGUCAGUAAAAUAAUCUUUCGAUUGUAGUAUUCAAUUGAAGGACACGUGAGCACGUUUUUUCUUCGUUUUCCUUAAGUUUUAGUGCGAGAUAGGAGAUAUCAGUAAUUGUGAUAAUGUUGGUAUUCCGAAUACCUAUCUAUACACCUCAGUUGUAAAUAAAUAUACGUUAUAACUUUUCACGUACGCCAUUUUCAUGAUGGCAUUAAUUAUUUUUUUUACUAUGUCUAAAAUAUUUAUCAAAGAAUAGAUAGUAAAUCAUUAUGUUAUAACUUAAUAAUUCCUGUUAUAGUGUCAAUACAAUAAGAAGUCAGUACAAUAAGAAGGAUAGCUUGUACGUAAUAAUAUAUUUCAAAUACUUGAGUAAUGAGCUCACACAUUAUCGCAUUAUGAUCAAUGCAUAAACAAUAUUUCUAAGCAUAAACAAAUAAAAGAGUGAUACCAACAGGGCAUAAGAUAUUUAUGUAUGUAAACUAUAUUUUUUAAGUAAAAAAUACAAUCCA
rnacentral:lncRNA from 1 species